rnacentral:rRNA from 1 species
GCGCGCAAAUUACCCACUCUCAGCACGAGGAGGUAGUGACGAAAAAUAACGAGUCGGUUCUCUUUGAGGCCCGAUAUCGGAAUGGGUACAAUCUAAACCCUUUAACGAGGACCUAUGAGAGGGCAAGUCUGGUGCCAGCAGCCGCGGUAAUUCCAGCUCUCAAGGUGUAUAUCGCCAUUGCUGCGGUUAAAAAGCUCGUAGUUGGAUCUGCGCCUGUGGAAGUGGUGCGCCCAAGUGGUGUCUACUGCUAUCCCGGGCUUAUCUGCCGGUUUUCGUGCGGUGCUCUUCACUGGGUGCCGUGCGUGGCUGGCGAGUUUACUUUGAAGAAAUUAGAGUGCUCAAAACAGGCGUUUCGCCUGAAUAGUUGUGCAUGGAAUAAUAGAACAGGACCUCGGUCCGUUUUGUUGGUUUCGGAACUGAGAUAAUGGUUAAGAGGGACUGCUGGGGGCAUUCGUAUCGCUGCGUGAGAGGUGAAAUUCUUGGACCGUAGCGAGACGCCCUACUGCGAAAGCAUUUGCCAAGAAUGUCUUCAUUAAUCAAGAACGAAAGUCAGAGGUUCGAAGGCGAUCAGAUACCGCCCUAGUUCUGACCGUAAACGAUGCCAACUAGCGAUCCGCCGGCGGUAAUUUCGCCCUGGCGGGGAGCUUCCCGGAAACGAAAGUCUUCCGGUUCCGGGGGAAGUAUGGUUGCAAAGCUGAAACUUAAAGGAAUUGACGGAAGGGCACCACCAGGAGUGGAGCCUGCGGCUUAAUUUGACUCAACACGGGAAAACUCACCCGGCCCGGACACUGUAAGGAUUGACAGAUUGAUAGCUCUUUCUUGAUUCGGUGGUUGGUGGUGCAUGGCCGUUCUUAGUUGGUGGAGCGAUUUGUCUGGUUUAUUCCGAUAACGAACGAGACUCCAGCCUACUAAAUAGUGUCGGGAUCCGUCCCGUCUCGAUACUUCUUAGAGGGAUAAUCGGUGUUCAGCCGAAUGAAAAGGAGCAAUAACAGGUCUGUGAUGCCCUUAGAUGUUCGGGGCUGCACGCGCGCUACACUGGAGGAAUCAGCGUGCCUAAACCUUUGCCGAAAGGCAUGGGUAAACCCUUGAAAAUCCUCCGUGAUCGGGAUCGGGAAUUG